rnacentral:rRNA from 1 species
AGGGAAUUUUGCGCAAUGGACGGAAGUCUGACGCAGCAACGCCGCGUGAAGGAUGAAGGCCUUCGGGUUGUAAACUUCUGUUGGAUGGGAAAAAAAGCCUUUUAAGAGGAAUUGAUGGUACCAUUCGAGUAAGCACCGGCUAACUACGUGCCAGCAGCCGCGGUAAUACGUAGGGUGCGAGCGUUGUUCGGAAUCACUGGGCGUAAAGGGGGCGUAGGCGGAACUGUAAGUUAGAAGUUUAAUACAUGGGCUCAACCCGUGGUCUGAUUUUAAUACUGCGGUUCUUGAGUAUGGGAGAGGGCGAUGGAAUUCCAGGUGUAGCGGUGGAAUGCGUAGAUAUCUGGAAGAACACCAGUAGCGAAGGCGGUCGCCUGGCCCAAUACUGACGCUGAGGCUCGAAAGCUGGGGGAGCAAAC